rnacentral:lncRNA from 1 species
CUGCUAUCAAAUUGAAGCUGGCCGCAGUUCAGAGUAGGGGCCAAUAUUUUUAACAGCAUGAAAUUUUGUUAUAGGGCUUCUGGAAGGAUUCUGUAUAUGAACUGGAGCAAAAUCAAAACUGAAGUCCCCUGUGUGGAAAAACAGUCUAUUCAGCAGCAAGACAGUGAAGAAAGAAUCUCACAGAAGAAAGGCACUGGGAUUUUUGGACAGUAUGUUAUGGUCUAGCUCCAUGACUGGGACCCUUGUGUGCUGCUGCAGUAAAAAGAACUGAUAGUAACAAAACAAAGAGCCAGCUCCAUGGUUCUGCCUCCGUUCAUCCAUCUCACAUUUGAUUAGUCCCUGCUUGACAUCGGGCUGGGAGCAAUAAGCUCUGAUCCUAACAGUGAAUGUGGCAUCAAGCCCGAGAGCUCCAUGUGUCACUCCAGAACCAGAUACUGUCUCACUGGAUUCCUCCAUAGAACAACUGAGGCAGAUGUGUGGAUGACAGAUUCGUCUUUCGGGUCUACCUACCACACCCACCAAGGACUGCUGAAUUGUGGUAUAAGGUCAGGCCCGUGGUCACUCUCUUCUGACACUAGCAAGUGA